GACGUAGGGCGCGAGCGUUGUCCGGAUUUAUUGGGCGUAAAGAGCUCGUAGGCGGCUUGUCGCGUCGAAUGUGAAAACUCGGGGCUCAACCCCGCGCAUGCAUUCGAUACGGGCAGGCUCGAGUUCGGUAGGGGAGACUGGAAUUCCUGGUGUAGCGGUGAAAUGCGCAGAUAUCAGGAGGAACACCGGUGGCGAAGGCGGGUCUCUGGGCCGAUACUGACGCUGAGGAGCGAAAGCGUGGGGAGCGAACAGG
rnacentral:rRNA from 1 species